rnacentral:rRNA from 1 species
UACGGAGGGGGCGAGCGUUAUUCGGAAUUAUUGGGCGUAAAGGGCGCGUAGGCGGCCUUGUAAGUCAAUGGUGAAAUCCCUCGGCUCAACUGAGGAACUGCCUUUGAAACUGCGGGUCUCGAGUCCGGGAGAGGUGAGUGGAAUUCCUAGUGUAGAGGUGAAAUUCGUAGAUAUUAGGAAGAACACCAGUGGCGAAGGCGGCUCACUGGCCCGGUACUGACGCUGAGGCGCGAAAGCGUGGGGAGCAAACAGG